GGGACACGUGGUAUCCUGUCUGAAUAUGGGGGGACCAUCCUCCAAGGCUAAAUACUCCUGACUGACCGAUAGUGAACCAGUACCGUGAGGGAAAGGCGAAAAGAACCCCGGCGAGGGGAGUGAAAAAGAACCUGAAACCGUGUACGUACAAGCAGUGGGAGCACCCUUUUGGGUGUGACUGCGUACCUUUUGUAUAAUGGGUCAGCGACUUAUAUUCUGUAGCAAGGUUAACCGAAUAGGGGAGCCGGAGGGAAACCGAGUCUUAAUUGGGCGUUAAGUUGCAGGGUAUAGACCCGAAACCCGGUGAUCUAGCCAUGGGCAGGUUGAAGGUUGGGUAACACUAACUGGAGGACCGAACCGACUAAUGUUGAAAAAUUAGCGGAUGACCUGUGGCUGGGGGUGAAAGGCCAAUCAAACCGGGAGAUAGCUGGUUCUCCCCGAAAGCUAUUUAGGUAGCGCCUCGUGAACUCAUCUCCGGGGGUAGAGCACUGUUUCGGCUAGGGGGCCAUCCCG
rnacentral:rRNA from 1 species